UUUGGAAUUGUUGGGUCAUAUGGUAACUCCAUGUGUUUAACCUUUUGAGGAAUUGCCAGACUGUUUUCCAAAGUGGCUGCACUGUUUUACAUUCUCACCACAGC
rnacentral:pre_miRNA from 1 species